rnacentral:tRNA from 1 species
GCCCCCAUAGCUCAAUUGGUAGAGCAGCACCCUUUUAAGGUGAUGGUUGCAGGUUCGAGUCCUGCUGGGGGCA